rnacentral:rRNA from 1 species
GUCGGGUCCUAAGGCGAGGCCGACAGGCGUAGUCGAUGGGUAACCAGUUGAUAUUCUGGUACCGGCUUGUCACCGUCCGUGUCGAGGUGUGUGAUGCUAAGCAUGUGAGCUUGUCUUGGGAGUGUUUUUGAUGCUUCUGGGGUGGGUGAGUGUGUGAACCGAUCAUGUAGUAGGCAAGCUGCGGAGGGACGCAGUGAGGUAGCUCAUCCCCGGUGAUGGUUGUCCGGGGCUAAGUGUGUGGACUGUCUGGUAGGUAAAUCCGCUGGGCGUGAAGGUUGAGGCAUGAUGGGGAGCCCACGGUUGUGGGUGAGUGAGUGAUCCUGUACUGUCGAGAAAAGCUUCGUGAGCGAGGUGGCGGGUCCGCCCGUACCCUAAACCGACACUGGUGGAUAGGUAGAGUAUACCGAGGCGAUCGAGUGAAUCGUGGUGAAGGAACUCGGCAAAAUGCCCCCGUAACUUUGGGAUAAGG